rnacentral:lncRNA from 1 species
GGGAAAUAGUCAUUGCUUGCCAAAUUCGGAUGAUAAGAAGUAUCAGUCGAAUGCGAAUGCGAUCGCUCGGACUAAGCCUCCGGCUAUACCUCGGGCUUCGGCUCUGGGUCAUGCUCAGCAUCUGGCUGUGGAUCGGGCUCUAUAUCGGCCACUGGUGUAUGCCCCAGAUCGCUGCACGUGCGGGGGGACUAUAGUCGACUGCCC